rnacentral:rRNA from 1 species
UACGGGGGGGGGCGAGCGUUGUUCGGAUUUACUGGGCGUAAAGGGCUUGUAGGCGGCGAUCUAUGUCGGUUGUGAAAUCCCCAGGCUCAACCUGGGAACUGCAGCCGAAACUGGGUCACUAGAAGCCGGGAGAGGGAUGCGGAAUUCCAGGUGUAGCGGUGAAAUGCGUAGAUAUCUGGAGGAACACCCGUGGCGAAGGCGGCAUCCUGGACCGGUCUUGACGCUGAGGAGCGAAAGCUAGGGUAGCAAA